rnacentral:rRNA from 1 species
GACGAACGCUGGCGGCGUGCUUAACACAUGCAAGUCGAACGGAAAGGCCCUGCUUUUGUGGGGUGCUCGAGUGGCGAACGGGUGAGUAACACGUGAGUAACCUGCCCUUGACUUUGGGAUAACUUCAGGAAACUGGGGCUAAUACCGGAUAGGAGCUCCUGCUGCAUGGUGGGGGUUGGAAAGUUUCGGCGGUUGGGGAUGGACUAGCGGGUUAUCAGCUUGUUGGUGGGGUAGUGGCUUACCAAGGCUUUGACGGGUAGCCGGCCUGAGAGGGUGACCGGCCACAUUGGGACUGAGAUACGGCCCAGACUCCUACGGAAGGCAGCAGUGGGGAAUAUUGCACAAUGGGCGGAAGCCUGAUGCAGCAACGCCGCGUGCGGGAUGACGGCCUUCGGGUUGUAAACCGCUUUCGCCUGUGACGAAGCGUGAGUGACGGUAAUGGGUAAAGAAGCACCGGCUAACUACGUGCCAGCAGCCGCCGUAACAC